rnacentral:RNase_P_RNA from 1 species
AAGAGUUGGUGUUGGUGGUUGCGGACUGGCUCAACAGCCGGUCUGAGGAAAGUCCGGGCUCCCCAAAGACCAAACUUGCUGGGUAACGCCCAGUGCGGGUGACCGUGAGGACAGUGCCACAGAAACAUACCGCCGAUGGAUACACCCUUGAACAGGAAAUGUUUGGGAAUGGCGCUAUUCCAGCAUUUUUCUUUCAGGGGCACUCACAGGUAAGGGUGCAAGGGUGCGGUAAGAGCGCACCAGCAACAUCGAGAGGUGUUGGCUCGGUAAACCCCGGUUGGGAGCAAGGCAGAGGAACAAGGGUUGGUCUUUUUCCGGUUCCGCUUUGAUAGAAGCCGCAUGAGGCGUUUGGUAACAACCGUCCUAGAUAGAUAACCCCCCUGGAUCAGAGGAACUGCUCCUAUCGAAGGGCAAUUUGCGAACAUCCAGAGAACAGAACCCGGCUUACGGCUGACUCUUUCUG